GUGUAUCAGUCCGACCCCCCGGGGCUGAUGCACGACGACCCUCGCCUCCUCCCCCCCUGGCGGGGGUCGUCCCUU
rnacentral:ncRNA from 1 species